GACGAAUUUGACGCUAUGCGAUCCAAGGCUGGAGACUUUCUUCUGCAAAGAUGGCUGACAAAAAUACUUGGUUGGAAGCAAAUGGACUCCUGAAACAACCAGCAAACCAGGCUGUCGUCUUGUGAAACAGUGGGUGUAAAGAAUCUAGCUAGCUAAAGCAUUUACUGCAAAUUGAAUGUACACUUUUGUACGCUUCCCUUGCUGAUAUUUGCCAUGCAAUGCAGAGAGAUGAAUAACGUAGGUAGCUAGCUAUGUUCUUUGCUUAUUGUGCAGUGGAGGAUAAAAAUACCUGUAUGGAUGUGUAGCUAGCUAUCUAGCCCCAUCUGUGUAUGGACCCAAACGUUUGGUAUACAAAUUAGUUCAGAACCUAGCUAUGAAUCUCAGCUAUCAUAGCCAGUUGUAUCAACUUCAAAACAGUCUGAAUUAUAUUAAUGGAUUGUAUAUUAAUGGAUGCCUAUGGAUUGAGUAGAAUAUAACUUUGUGCCAAGGAUGAAAGUUGUAUAUACAUUACCAUGCAUAAGAUCCCCACAUUGGAGCCUGUACAUUUAAUAUAUUCACUGAUCAUGUACUUUACCUUGGCAAAUAAAGGUGCAGUUCAGUUAUGA